rnacentral:rRNA from 1 species
UACGUAGGGUGCGAGCGUUAAUCGGAAUUACUGGGCGUAAAGCGUGCGUAGGUGGUUCGUUAAGUCUGAUGUGAAAGCCCUGGGCUCAACCUGGGAAUGGCAUUGGAUACUGGCGAUCUAGAGUGCGGUAGAGGGCAGUGGAAUUCCCGGUGUAGCAGUGAAAUGCGUAGAGAUCGGGAGGAACAUCUGUGGCGAAGGCGACUGCCUGGACCAGCACUGACACUGAGGCACGAAAGCGUGGGGAGCAAACAGG